GACGAACGCUGGCGGCGCGCCUAACACAUGCAAGUCGAACGGAGCUUAGAGAGCUUGCUUUUUAAGCUUAGUGGCGAACGGGUGAGUAACGCGUGAGUAACCUGCCCUAGAGUGGGGGACAACAGUUGGAAACGACUGCUAAUACCGCAUAAGCCCACGGUACCGCAUGGUACUGAGGGAAAAGGAUUUAUUCGCUUUAGGAUGGACUCGCGUCCAAUUAGCUAGUUGGUGAGGUAACGGCCCACCAAGGCGACGAUUGGUAGCCGGACUGAGAGGUUGAACGGCCACAUUGGGACUGAGACACGGCCCAGACUCCUACGGGAGGCAGCAGUGGGGGAUAUUGCACAAUGGGGGAAACCCUGAUGCAGCGACGCCGCGUGGAGGAAGAAGGUUUUCGGAUUGUAAACUCCUGUCGUUAGGGACGAUAAUGACGGUACCUAACAAGAAAGCACCGGCUAACUACGUGCCAGCAGCCGCGGUAAAACGUAGGGUGCAAGCGUUGUCCGGAAUUACUGGGUGUAAAGGGAGCGCAGGCGGGAAGACAAGUUGGAAGUGAAAACCAUGGGCUCAACCCAUGAAUUGCUUUCAAAACUGUUUUUCUUGAGUAGUGCAGAGGUAGAUGGAAUUCCCGGUGUAGCGGUGGAAUGCGUAGAUAUCGGGAGGAACACCAGUGGCGAAGGCGGUCUACUGGGCACCAACUGACGCUGAG
rnacentral:rRNA from 1 species